GAGUUUGAUCGUGGCUCAGAUUGAACGCUGGCGGCAUGCCUUACACAUGCAAGUCGAACGGCAUCACGGGAGCUUGCUCCUGGUGGCGAGUGGCGAACGGGUGAGUAAUGCAUCGGAACGUAUCCUGGAGUGGGGGAUAACGUAGCGAAAGUUACGCUAAUACCGCAUAUUCUGUGAGCAGGAAAGCGGGGGACCUUCGGGCCUCGCGCUCUUGGAGCGGCCGAUGUCGGAUUAGCUAGUUGGUGAGGUAAAGGCUCACCAAGGCGACGAUCCGUAGCAGGUCUGAGAGGAUGAUCUGCCACACUGGAACUGAGACACGGUCCAGACUCCUACGGGAGGCAGCAGUGGGGAAUUUUGGACAAUGGGGGCAACCCUGAUCCAGCCAUGCCGCGUGAGUGAAGAAGGCC
rnacentral:rRNA from 2 species